UAAAUGUUUAUAAAUGAUUAUACUUAAAUCAUGUUAUUGAUUUAUUUUUUGCUUUCAUUUUCAAUAAAAAGCUUUGCAGGGUUGUAUCUGUUUAGUCUGUUCGAUUUUUUUUAUCGUAUUUGUAUUUAAGUAUUUCACUGCUAUGGAUUCUUUUAAUCAGCUUGUUUUUAUUUACAUUGAAAGGGGGUGUUCACAUGGAUGAAAAGCAUAUGAUGUCAUCAGUGUGGGACAUCAGUGUGGGAUUAUCUCAUCACUGUGGGUUUUCCCGCCAUUUUGGCUUUAUAAGGGACAGGGAGGUGGAUUUCUGUAAAUCUGAUUAAGGCUGUGAAUGAAGCUGUGCAUGGUUAUAGCUCCUGUGAAUGCUUCAUAUGGAAAGAAAUGUAAGUAUGUACUGUAAUAUAUCUCUUUUUCUAAGUAUGCUACUUUAGUCUAGAUGUAUUUUAUUUUACAGAUUGUGGACUAUUCAGCUUUUUCAGUUGAAUGAGGAUGGAGGUAUGGAUUGACUUAGAUGUGCAGAAGAGUGUGCUUUAUUUACUUGGGUGUUUUUGUGUUUUACAGGUUGUUUGUUUGGGGAGAGUCUUGCCAUGGAAAAGGUUGGACUCUUGAUUAGGUACUGUACUGCCAGAGAGGAGGAUCUUCACUUUUUACAGCUAAUUGAACUGCAAAAUAUUCUACAAUAUAUGUUAUUCCUGAGCUUUUCAUGGAAGGUUUUUUACUGCUUAUGCUUGCAGGUAAGUGACUUUGAUGAAAUAUGAUAGUGUCCUUCAACCUGGGCAUUUUUGUAUUACAGGUUAGGCCCAUGGACUGCUGAAGUUUGCAAUAGGUGAGUGGAAUACUAGGUGUGCAUUAAUAAUAGUGCUUCUUCAGCCUAGUCAUUUUAUUAUUUUACAGGUUUCCAUGUUUUGGGAAAUGCCUAGUCACUAUGGUCUUCAGCCUGGAGGUUUCUUAUGGUAGGUAUGAACGGAAAUUCUGUUUCAUGUAAUUCUUCAUCUUUGUUUUACAGGUGGGCAUCUUUGUUUUACAGGUUGGGAGGGAAAACAGUCAGGAAGUCUUGUACUGCUAACGCUUGUGGUUGGUGAGUAGAAAAAUAGAUGUGCAGGGAUAGUGCUGAUUCUUCAACCUGGGCAUCUUUUUAUUUUACAGGUUUUCUUCUGUUUUGGGAAACAUCAAGUUACUAUAGGAUUUCAGCCUGGCAGUUUAUUUGGGAACCCGUUUCUUGCGGUAGGUACGGAUGAACAAAUUCAGUUUGGCAUUGUUAUUCUUCAGCAUGUGCAUCUUUGUUUUACAGGUUGGGACUUUUCAAGGGAAAGGCACCAGUCAUGUCAGGAAACCUUGUACUGUUGAAGUCUGUGAUUGAUCGGUGAGUAGAAGAAUAGACAUGCAUGGGUUAUACUGGUUCUUCAACUUGGGUAUCUUUUUAUUUUACAGGAUUUCCUAAUUCGGAAUGCAUCUAGCUAGUAUGGUACUCCAGCCUGGCAGUUUGUGUCCCUGUUUAUUGUGGUAGGUAUGGAUGAACAAAUUCAAUCUGACGUUGUUUUUCUUCAGCAUGGGUAUUUUUGUUUUACAGGUUGGGACAUUGUGAGGGAAAGGCUAGCAGCAGAGUCAGGAAAUCUUGUACUGCUAAAGAUUGCGACUGCCACUAUAGAACUUCAGCCUGGCAGUUUAUUUGGGAUCCCAUUUCUAGCGGUUUUCCUCUUUUGGGAAACAUCAAGCAACUAUAGAACUUCAAUUUGGCAGUUUAUUUGGGAUCCUGUUGCUUGUGGUAGGUACGGAUGAACAAAUUUAAUCUGACAUUGUCUUUCUUUAGCAUGGGUAUUUUUGUUUUACAGGUUGGGACAUUGUGAGGGAGAAGAUAGCAGCAGAGUCAGGAAACUCUGUACUGCUAGCACUCUUAAUUGGUGAGUAGAAGAAUAGACAUGCAUGGGUUAUACUGGUUCUUCAACCUGGGUAUCUUUUUAUUUUACAGGUUUUCCUAUUUUGGGAAUCAUCUAGCCACUAUGGUACUCCAGCCUGGCAGUUUGUUUUCCUGUUUCUUGUGGUAGGUAUGGAUGAACAAAUUCAGUCUGACAUUGUCUUUCUUCAGCAUGGGUAUUUUUGUUUUACAGGUCCCAACCUGUAACAGAGUCAGCCACUAUAGAACUCCAGCUUGGCAGUUUAUUUGAGAUCCUAUUUCUUGUGGUAGGUAUAGAUUGAAAAAUUCUGUUUGGCAUUUUCAUUUUUUAGCACAGGCAUCUUUGUUUUACAGGUUGGGAAACUGAGGGAAAGGCAACAAGCUACAACAGGAAACCUUGUACAUUAGAAGCCUGUGAUUGAUUGGUGAGUAGAAGAAUAGACAUACAUGGGUUAUACUGGUUCUUCAAUCUGGGUAUCAUUUUAUUUUACAGGUUUUAUUGUUUUGGGAAACAUCAAACCACUAGAGAACUUCAGCCUGGCAGUUUAUUUGGGAACCUGUUUCUUGAGGUAGGUAUGGAUGAACAAAUUCAGUUUGGCAUUGUUCUUCUUCAGCAUGCGCAUCUUUGUGUUACAGGUUGGGACUUUUUAGGGGAAAUGCACCAGUCAUGUCACGAAACCUUGUACUAUUGAAGCCCUUGAUUGAUUGGUAUGUAGAAGAAUAGGUAUGCAUGGGUUUAACUGGUUCUUCAACCUAGGUGUCUUUUUAUUUUACAGGUUUUCCUAUUUUGGGAUGCAUCUAGCCACUAUGGUACUCCAGCCUGGCAGUUUGUGUCCCUGUUUAUUGUGGUAGGUAUGGAUGAACAAAUUCAAUCUGACAUUGUCUGUCCUCAGCAUGGGUAUUUUUGUUUUACAGGUUGGUAUAUUGUGAGGGAGAAGAUAGCAGCAGAGUCAGGAAACUCUGUACUGCUAGCACUCUUAAUUGGUGAGUAGAAGAAUAGACAUGCAUGGGUUAUACUGGUUCUUCAAUCUGAGUAUCUUUUUAUUUUACAGGUUUUAUUGUUUUGGGAAACAUCAAGCCACUAUAGAACUUCAGCCUGGCAUUUUAUUUGGGAUCCUAUUUCUUGUGGUAGGUAUGGAUUAAAAAAUUCUGUUUGGCAUUAUAAUUUUUUAGCACAGGCAUCUUUAUUUUACAGGUUGGAAAACUGAGAGAAAGACAACCAGCCACAACAGGAAACCUUGUACUGUUGAAGCCUGUAACUGAUUGGUGAGUAGAAGAAUAGGCAUGCAUGGGUUAUACUGGUUCUUCAACCUUGGGUAUCUUUUUAUUUUGGAUUGGAUUGGAUUAUUAAUGGAUUCUUGGUAGUGAUGUGUUGCUGCACAGUGGGCAUCUCUUGAUUACAUUCUGCUUUUGGUCAGACUGUUGAGUAGUGGAUACCUCACUGACCAGUUACCAAUGUUGGCAAUUUGGUUAUACUCCUUUAUUGAUGAUUGAUCAAUUGAUGUCUUUUCAGGUACUCCUAUACCCAUGUUCCAUUUGAACAGUUUGUUUAGAUUUUUUUUUUUUUGAAUUGUAAUAAAAUUAUUUCUCCCUGAAAGACUAUAGGAACACACUUUAAAUACUGCACAUUGGACCAGAGCAUGAAGUUAUAGUUCCAACUUCCAUUGUGCAUGUGGUGGCUUUAUAUAUUGGCUUUACUAUACAAAAGUGCACUGCCUAGGCUUAUUUUUGUGUUACAAGUUGGGUCAUGGUUUGAGAAACUUCUCUGUGGUUUUGCUUUAGACUUGGCAGCUGAGUGGGGGAGAGGCGUGCAGGUGCUGUAUUUUUGUGUGUUGUGCUUUCAUUUGGGCAUGUUUGUUUUACAGGUCAGGACAUGGUUUGGAAAAAGGCUUAGCUCUGCAGCAGUUUCCUUAUGGUGAUGACUGACCAACUCAGCACCCAAAUCAACAGCUUUUCUUGCCUACACCAAACACGUCUCAUGUGAAUGACAACCUGGACUUGUAUCCGGACUUUCUAUAUUUGAAUUAGGAUUGUCAAAUGUUUGUUUUCAUUAAACUUUCAAUUAAAUAUAUUUUUAACCUAUAUAUAAAUAUAGUAAUACCAAAAAUUCUUAUCUUUGCAUAGUUAGAAUAUGCAAAUAUUACAGAUUUUGGUCUAUACUUUAAAGUGGCAUAUAUGUGUAAAAAAAAAAAGUUCCUUUGCAUUAAACUACUUUAAAUAUAAAAGGAAUUUUCAAUGGGAGAUCUAAUAA